AUCUCCGACGAUAAUCAAAAGAAUAACUUUCGUUCUUCUGAUGGUGGUGAUGAUCGCCACAUAUGCGGAAAAGCUUAUGGAGACAUGAACUGAGGAGAC